rnacentral:tRNA from 1 species
AAAAUCCGUCGACUUUAGAAAUCGUGAGGGUUCAAGUCCCUCUAUCCCCCCAAAAAGACCGAUUUGACUAUUUUUCCUACCCUCUCUUUUUUUUAGUGGUUCAAAAUUCGUUCUCUUUCUCAUUCAUUCUACCUUUUUACAAACGUAUCAGAGCAGAAUUUUUUUUUUUCUUUUAUCACAAUCACAAGUGGUGUGGUAUAUAUGAUAUACGUACAAAUGAACAUCUUUGAACAAAGAAUCCCGAUUCACAAUUCAUAUCAUUGCUCAUACUGAAACUUAUAAAUUAUUCUAUUCAAGAAAUCGAAUUCCACGCUCAAGACUUUUAAUACUUUUUUUAUCUUUUUUAAUUGACAUAGACCCCAGUCAUCUAGUAAAAUGAGGAUGAUGCGCCGGUAAUGGUCGGGAUAGCUCAGCUGGUAGAGCAGAGGACUGAAAAUCCUC